AUGACCACCACCCUCUGGUGUGUGUGGCUGCGGGGGUUGGCACUGGCGCAACUCCUAUGGUUUGGUGAAGUAGUGCUUGAGCAUCUUUUGUGUUUUCAGGACUCGGACAUCCAUGUACUUGGGUUGCCUAAUCUGAGGGAGACAAUAGCAACUACUGCCUGGUAUUUGUGGUUUGAGCGGAGGAAACUAACAUGUGGUGAGAAAACACAAACUGUAGCCCAAAUUCAAUUGGCGGUAAGGGGACUAGCAGCGAACUUUGUUAUAGCAUGUAAGCCCAAAGCGAAGAUGAGAGUGAUGGCUUGGUCUAAGCCCCGGUCGGGAUAUAUGGAACUUAAUGUAUAUGUUGGGUUUGAUCAUGACAAUCUGAAUGCAACGGCUGUGAGAUUUGGGUUAAACUUAGCACAGACACUGGGAUGUAGCAAGAUUGAGGUUGUCUCCGACAAUGAAGAACUUGUUAAUGCUUUGAAGGAAGGCUUCUUCAGCUCAGUGGCAAAUAAUAAUCAGGUAGCUCAUGAAUUGGCCAAGUUGGCCAAGUUCUCUCCUCCUAGUAUCUGGAUGGAUUAA
rnacentral:rRNA from 1 species